AAUAUUGGACAAUGGGCGAAAGCCUGAUCCAGCCAUGCCGCGGGAGGGAAGAAGGACUACGGUGUGUAAAGCACUUUUAGUUGGGAGGAAGGUCACGAAGUUAAUACCUUGCUGAUUUGACGUUACCGACAGAAUAAGAAACGGAUAACUUCGUGCCAGCAGCCGCGGUAAGACGAAGGGUGCAAGCGUUAAACGGAAUUAAUAGGCGUAAGGCUCGCGUAGGUGGUUUGUUAAGUUGGAAGUGAAAGCCCCGGGCUCAACCUGGUAACUGCUUUCAAAACUGGCAAGCUAGAGUAUGGCAGAGGGUGGUGGAAUUUCCUGUGUAGCGGUGAAAUGCGCAGAUAUAGGAAGGAACACCAGUGGCGAAGGCGACCACCUGGGCUAAUACUGACACUGAGGUGCGAAAGCGUGGGGAGCAAAC
rnacentral:rRNA from 1 species